GCCUGAGGAGUACGGCCGCAAGGCUAAAACUUAAAGGAAUUGACGGGGACCCGCACAAGCGGUGGAGCAUGUGGUUUAAUUCGAAGAUACGCGAAAAACCUUACCAGGUCUUGACAUACCAAUGAUCGCUUUUGUAAUGAAAGCUUUUCUUCGGAACAUUGGAUACAGGUGGUGCAUGGUCGUCGUCAGCUCGUGUCGUGAGAUGUUGGGUUAAGUCCCGCAACGAGCGCAACCCUUGUUAUUAGUUGCCAGCAUUUAGUUGGGCACUCUAAUGAGACUGCCGGUGAUAAACCGGAGGAAGGUGGGGACGACGUCAGAUCAUCAUGCCCCUUAUGACCUGGGCAACACACGUGCUACAAUGGGAAGUACAACGAGUCGCAAACCGGCGACGGUAAGCUAAUCUCUUAAAACUUCUCUCAGUUCGGACUGGAGUCUGCAACUCGACUCCACGAAGGCGGAAUCGCUAGUAAUCGCGAAUCAGCAUGUCGCGGUGAAUACGUUCCCGGGUCUUGUACACACCGCCCGUCAAAUCAUGGGAGUCGGAAGUACCCAAAGUCGCUUGGCUAACUUUUAGAGGCCGGUGCCUAAGGUAAAAUCGAUGACUGGGAUUAAGUCGUAACAAGGUAGCCGUAGGAGAACCUGCGGCUGGAUCACCUCCUUUCUAAGGA
rnacentral:rRNA from 1 species